rnacentral:rRNA from 1 species
UGCGUCCUAUUAGCUAGUUGGUGAGGUAACGGCUCACCAAGACUACGAUGACUAGGGGGUCUGAGAGGAUGAUCCCCCACACUGGUACUGAGACACGGACCAGACUCCUACGGGAGGCAGCAGUAAGGAAUAUUGGGCAAUGGAGGCAACUCUGACCCAGCCAUGCCGCGUGCAGGAUGACGGCCCUCUGGGUUGUAAACUUCUUUUGUACGGGAAUAACCCUCCGAACGUGUUCGGAGCUGAAGGUACCGUAAGAAUAAGGAUCGGCUAACUCCGUGCCAGCAGCCGCGGUAAUACGGAGGAUCCAAGCGUUAUCCGGAUUUACUGGGUUUAAAGGGUGCGUAGGCGGAUUGAUAAGUCAGUGGUGAAAGCCUGCAGCUUAACUGCAGAACUGCCAUUGAUACUGCCAGUCUGGAGUAUGGUUGAGGUAGGUGGAAUGUGUUGUGUAGCGGUGAAAUGCAUAGAUAUGACACAGAACGCCGAUUGCGAAGGCAGCUUACUAAGCCAUUACUGACGCUGAGGCACGAAAGCGUGGGGAUCGAACAGGAUUAGAUACCCUGGUAGUCCACGCCGUAAACGAUGAUCACUCGCUGUUUGCGAUAUACAGCAAGCGGCUGAGCGAAAGCAUUAAGUGAUCCACCUGGGGAGUACGAUCGCAAGGUUGAAACUCAAAGGAAUUGACGGGGGCCCGCACAAGCGGAGGAACAUGUGGUUUAAUUCGAUGAUACGCGAGGAACCUUACCUGGGCUUAAAUGUAGAGCGACAGAUUGUGAAAGCAGUCCUUCUUCGGACGAUCUACAAGGUGCUGCAUGGUUGUCGUCAGCUCGUGCCGUGAGGUGUCGGGUUAAGUCCCAUAACGAGCGCAACCCUUAUCUUUAGUUACAGCAUGUAAUGAUGGGGACUCUAAAGGAACUGCCUACGCAAGUAGUGAGGAAGGUGGGGAUGACGUCAAAUCAGCACGGCCCUUAUGUCCAGGGCGACACACGUGUUACAAUGGCCGAUACAGAGGGCAGCUACCCAGCGAUGGGAUGCGAAUCUCUAAAACCUAUCUCAGUUCGGAUCGGAGUCUGCAACUCGACUCCGUGAAGCUGGAUUCGCUAGUAAUCGCAUAUCAGCCAUGAUGCGGUGAAUACGUCCCCGGGCCUUGUACACACCGCCCGUCAAACAAUGGAAGCUGGGGGUGCCUAAAGUCUGUAACCGCAAGGAGCGACCUAGGGC